rnacentral:lncRNA from 13 species
AGCAGAGUGGCUGUUGCUAGUUGGCCAAUAGGAACGAGGCAGCAGAGUGGCUGUGGUUAGAUGGCCAAUAGGAAAGAGGCAGCAGAGUGGACAGGGUAGAUGGUCCAGUGAACAGAGCCGGCAUGGCAACUCCCGGGACCCAUGAGAUAGCCUGUCCUGGGUGAUGAAGCAGUGGGUCAGGACCAGGGGAAGACCGAGUGACAUGCUGGAUUGGCCGUAGGUCAAGCAACUCACUGAAUGCAAAGGAAUAUUGUUAUGAAGUACCAGGCUAAUUUGCUCAUUGGUACCUUGACCUCCCACCCUGCCACAGCUCUGUGGCGCUCAGCUCACAUUUCCCUCCUGCUCUUGGUUUCCUUUCUCCUACUUGGGUCUUCCCAGGCUGUGGCUGAGUGGUUGCAGUGAGAAGUGGCCCAGCAAGUCUGUUAACCCCACUGGAAGGAGCAGCAGCAGUGCCAAAGCACUGGCCAGCCUCACCCAGGGGCCCUCCAUUUGGGACCAAGGCCUGCUACUAACUUGGGGAAGCAUUUGCCAUGCCUGGGUAGGGGAAUGACUUUGCUCUCUUCCUGUGCUGCUUCGGCCUUUGUUCUCAUACCCCAUCUAAAGAAAGAGCCUCUAGUCACUCCAGUUGGAAGCAACUAAAACCUGAUCACAUCCCUACUUUUGAAAAAGAUCCAGCCUUAGAAUGCAUGCUUCUAUGCCAGUGGUAGAAGGGACAUCUUAGCAGGUACCUCCCUUCUGGUGCCUGUUCCUGAACCAUUGAAAUGAAACCCCCAAAUAUGAGUUUGAUUAUACGUGUAACCCAGUGCAUCCGUCCUGGUGCUUUGCUAAUGCCCUGACUGACAGCUGGAGAGCUUAUGAGAGAUUUACCUUAUCUGAGGUCAUGAUGGAGCAGAUACAGGAAGAGGACUAAGCACUCUUCUCCUACUUUGCUUCCCUAUCCGCAAAAACCUCUGCUCCUGGAAGUGUCCCUAAGAAAAAGGACUUGCCCCCUCCCUGUGAACAGCCCAACCCACUUUGAAUUCUGCAGUGCCUCCAGAUGAGUGUUCUUCCCCUGCAGCUGGAAAGCCUCCUGUGCUCAGAAAUUCCAGGGUCCCGACAUGAUCCAUGCUCAGAAGUUGGGCUGCAGCUCCUCAGAGCUGGCAGGCACAAACCUCCAGUUCUUCAGGGCUUGUAAGAGCCAAAUGCACUGCGGAGG